CGACCGCAGAGGGCCCCGUCUGGGGCGCUGUGAUGCCGGCUCGGUCGGUCCCCCUUGACA
rnacentral:snoRNA from 1 species